rnacentral:rRNA from 1 species
UCAGGAUGAACGCUAGCGGCAGGCCUAACACAUGCAAGUCGCGGGGCGGCACGGGUAGCAAUACCUGGUGGCGACCGGCGCACGGGUGCGUAACGCGUAUGCAACCUGCCCCCAUCAGGGGAAUAGCCCGCCGAAAGGCGGAUUAAUGCCCCAUAGGCCCAGGGCGCCGCAUGGCGCUAUGGGUAAAGCUCCGGCGGAUGGGGAUGGGCAUGCGUGCCAUUAGCUAGUUGGGGCGGUAACGGCGCACCAAGGCGACGAUGGCUAGGGGGUCUGAGAGGAUGGUCCCCCCACACUGGUACUGAGACACGGACCAGACUCCUACGGGAGGCAGCAGUGAGGAAUAUUGGUCAAUGGGCGGAAGCCUGAACCAGCCAUGCCGCCGUGCAGGAUGACGGCCCUACGGGUUGUAAACUGCUUUUCCCCGGGAAGAAUAAGCCCCUCGUGAGGGGUGAUGCUGGUACCGGGGGAAUAAGGAUCGGCUAACUCCGUGCCAGCAGCAGC